rnacentral:lncRNA from 1 species
UUCUCUUCCUCUUACACCUUAAGAUACUUGGCAAGCAGUCACAUUAAUAUUCUACUAUCCCCAGCAAAGUAAAUAGCAGCUACUUUCACUAAUGGCCUUCUAAAUCAAAUGACACAUCAUGGCUGCACAAAAGAGCCGGAUUUCAACUCAGGAAACACAGAGGGAUAAAUCCAUACCAAAAUCCAAAUUCUUUUCCAGCAAAGGCUCUGGCAAAGAAGGAUCUUCCUCCAGAAAACAAAAAAAAAAAUCAUUCAUAAGUCCUGAACAGACUGAGCAGUAAGUCUGCAAUUGAAGCACAGCCUCCUUUUCUAAAACUGAGUGUAGGAUAGAGCUAUUUUCACUUCCUAAUUAAGCAGGUAACUUCUCUUCCAUCUUUCUUUAUCAUGACAGAUGAAUGUUUAAAUAUAAGAUUUGAUAUUGUGUGCUUAUCUUAAGCUGUACUAUUUUAUAGCAUUAAAAGGUAUUAUAGCCAUCACUAAAAUUACUGUCCAUGCAAAAUAGAUUAUGAUAAUGCAAACCAAAUUUGAAUUUUGGAAGAUAAAAGCAGAACAAGAAUUCUCAAGUACCUUUCAAUACUCAAAUAUAAGCUAUAGUAUCAUCUACCUCUUGAUCUACAAACACAAAUACCUAUAGUAAGCAGGCAGUAAGUAGAACCAGUAAUGCAACUGAGAGAGUACUGGAGCCUCUAGCACCAGAGAACAGAAGCCCACUGAAGGAGGUAGCUGCUACUAAGAAAAAUGGGACUGUUUUCUUACCAGGGGAAGGUCCAGUGUUUCCAUAUCGUCUGAUUUUCCCAGAAAACCAAUCUUGUGAUGGUACUGGCUUCAACUUGCUCAAAAUAGACCAGCCUCAUGACCAUGCUAGCUUUGACUUGUUCAAGAUAUUGAGCAACGAAACACCCGCUGAAAAUGGCUGCUUGCUCUGGAGCCUUUCACACAGUUGGCUCUCCUGUCUGCCAAUCUUCUGAGUGUUUUCAUUUCACUCCCUCCAUGAUUGUAGUGGAUUAACACAUCAACAUCCAAUUUUCCUCAGUUGACAAAGCUGUCCAAUUGGGCCUGUCUCUUCAGGAUUCUGCUUUAGACUCACCAAGUAGCAACACACAGAGGUUCCAGUGUUUCUUUUGCUUUUAAAGGAGCUAAGCUCAUCAGAGAAGCAGGGC